rnacentral:rRNA from 1 species
UACGAAGGGGGCUAGCGUUGUUCGGAAUUACUGGGCGUAAAGCGCGCGCAGGCGGUCUUCCAAGUCAGUGGUGAAAGCCCGGAGCUCAACUCCGGAAAUGCCAUUGAAACUGUAAGACUUGAGGAUGAGAGAGGUGAGUGAAAUUCCCAGUGUAGAGGUGAAAUUCGUAGAUAUUCGCAAGAACACCAGUGGCGAAGGCGGCUCACUGGCCCGGUACUGACGCUUAGGUGCGAAAGCGUGGGGAGCAAACAGG